AGGACGAACGCUGGCGGCGUGCCUAACACAUGCAAGUCGAGCGGAAAGGCCUCCUUCGGGAGGUACUCGAGCGGCGAACGGGUGAGUAACACGUGGGCAACCAACCCCUCACAUCGGGAUACCCCGGGGAAACUCGGAUCAAUACCGGAUAAUGCGCGACGCUGUUGGGCGUCGCACCAAAGGUAGCUUCGGCCUCUGGUGAGGGACGGGCCCGCGGCCCAUUAGCUUGUUGGUGGGGUAAUGGCCUACCAAGGCAACGAUGGGUAGCUGGUCUGAGAGGAUGAUCAGCCACACUGGGACUGAGAUACGGCCCAGACUCCUACGGGAGGCAGCAGUGGGGAAUAUUGCGCAAUGGGCGGAAGCCUGACGCAGCAACGCCGCGUGCGGGAGGAAGGCCUUCGGGUCGUAAACCGCUUUCAGGGGGACGAAGCCACCGAGGGUUAAUAGGCCCAGUGGGGUGACGGUACUCCCGAGAAGAAGCCCCGGCUAACUACGUGCCAGCAGCCGCGGU
rnacentral:rRNA from 1 species